rnacentral:rRNA from 1 species
GGCUAACGCUGGCGGCGUGUCUUAGCCAUGCAAGUCGAGCGGACUUAUGGGGUAACUUAUAAGUCAGCGGCGGACGGCGGAGUAACACGUAGCUAACCUACCCUCUGGACGGGGAUAACCUACCGAAAGGUGGGCUAAUACCCGAUGUAGUCAUCCUGUAUAGGGGUGAUGAAAGGUGGGCUUCUGUUUACAAGCUCAUGCUGGAGGAGGGGGCUGCGGCCUAUCAGGUAGUUGGUAGGGUAAUAGCCUACCAAGCCGAUGACGGGUAGCCGGCCUGAGAGGGUGACCGGCCCGAGGGGCACUGAGAUACGGGUCCCACUCCGUACGGGAGGCAGCAGGCUAGAAAUUUGGGCAAUGGGGGAAACCCUGACCCAGUGACGCCGCGUGCAGGAAGGAGCCCUUCGGGGUGUAAACUGCUGUCGUGUAGGGAGAAGGGUACUAAGGUGAACAAUCUUAGUACUUGACGGUACUACAGGAGGAAGCCCAGGCUAACCUCGUG